GAACAUUCCAAACCAACUGUCACAUGACAGCUCUGCCAAGAGUUAGCUUCCCUUCAACUGACCAACCCUGGCCAACCAGUUACUGUGAAUUAGCCAGGAAAGUGGCCACCAGGGCUGGUGCUUUGGUGGCUUAAUGGGUGAAGUCUGGGACACUCAAGGUCUCACUGACAAUGAAUCUGAGCAGCCAUCCGGGCAGUCUGGACUAAGAUGGUCCGCUCCAUACCAACAGCCUGGGAGCCCACCCCUGGACUCUCCCUGAGGAUCACCGGACCCUCAUUGCUUCUGCUACCAAAUGUUCAUUCCAGCAACCGGAUGGCACUGUCCCUUCUUACCAACGUCCCAGGCAGACAAGAACAGAGCCAGAAACCCGAGGACCUGGGUUCAGAGGGACACAGGCCCAGCUGCUGAUGAGUGGACUGGAGCCAUGGAGACACCCUGGCCUUGCCCUGCAUGGAGCCCUCUACUGCCCUGGCAUCCUGAGUCCUGGGGACUUGGGGGCAAUGGAGGCAGGGCCCUUAGCUGGACACAGUGCAGAUGGAGCAGAACAUGA
rnacentral:lncRNA from 1 species